rnacentral:rRNA from 1 species
UACGUAGGGGGCAAGCGUUGUCCGGAUUUAUUGGGCGUAAAGAGCGUGUAGGCGGCCAAGCAGGUCAGCUGUGAAAACUCGAGGCUCAACCUCGAGACGUCGGUUGAAACCGCUUGGCUAGAGUCCGGAAGAGGAGAGUGGAAUUCCCGGUGUAGCGGUGAAAUGCGCAGAUAUCGGGAAGAACACCCGUGGCGAAGGCGGCGACCUGGUCCUAUACUGACACUCAUACACGAAAGCGUGGGUAGCAAACAGG